rnacentral:rRNA from 1 species
CCUACGGGUGGCUGCAGUGGGGAAUAUUGCACAAUGGGCGCAAGCCUGAUGCAGCCAUGCCGCGUGUGUGAAGAAGGCCUUCGGGUUGUAAAGCACUUUCAGCGGGGAGGAAGGCGGUGAGGUUAAUAACCUCAUCGAUUGACGUUACCCGCAGAAGAAGCACCGGCUAACUCCGUGCCAGCAGCCGCGGUAAUACGGAGGGUGCAAGCGUUAAUCGGAAUUACUGGGCGUAAAGCGCACGCAGGCGGACUGUCAAGUCGGAUGUGAAAUCCCCGGGCUCAACCUGGGAACUGCAUUCGAAACUGGCAGGCUAGAGUCUUGUAGAGGGGGGUAGAAUUCCAGGUGUAGCGGUGAAAUGCGUAGAGAUCUGGAGGAAUACCGGUGGCGAAGGCGGCCCCCUGGACAAAGACUGACGCUCAGGUGCGAAAGCGUGGGGAGCAAACAGGAUUAGAUACCCUUGUAGUC